CCACGGGGAUCUGGUCGGAGCUGACGAAGUGCACGUGGGUGUCGAUGCCGCCGGCCGUGAGGAUCUUGCCCUCACCGGCGAUGAUGUCCGUGGCCACACCGAUCGUGAUGGUGACGCCGUCGGAGAUCUGCGGGUUGCCGGCCUUGCCGAUCUUGAAGAUAUGGCCGUCGCGCAGCGCGACGUCGGCCUUGUAGAUGCCGGUGUAGUCGAGCACGAUCACGUUCGUGAUGACGGUGUCGGGGAUGUCCUCGUCGCGGACCAGCUGGCCGUUUUGGCCCAUGCCGUCGCGAAUCA
rnacentral:sRNA from 1 species